GCAGUCCUGGGCCAGGCGGGCCGCUGGGCCGCCGAUCGAGCCCAGGUAGAAGCCGCCGUAGGACUGGCAUGCUCGGGUCACCUGGGCUGAGC
rnacentral:tRNA from 1 species